UACGGAGGGGGCUAGCGUUAAUCGGAAUUACUGGGCGUAAAGGGUGCGUAGGUGGUUUGGUAAGUUAUCUGUGAAAUACCUGGGCUUAACCUGGGUUUGUCAGAUAAGACUGCUGGACUCGAGUAUAGGAGAGGGUAGUGGAAUUUCCGGUGUAGCGGUGAAAUGCGUAGAUAUCGGAAGGAACACCGGUGGCGAAGGCGGCUACCUGGCCUAAUACUGACACUGAGGCACGAAAGCGUGGGGAGCGAACAGG
rnacentral:misc_RNA from 1 species